rnacentral:rRNA from 1 species
GUUAGGAAUAUUGGACAAUGGGCGAAAGCCUGAUCCAGCCAUGCCGCGUGAACGAUGAAGGCCUUCGGGUUGUAAAGUUCUUUAGCCGAUGAUUAUAAUGACUGUAGUCGGAAAAUAAGCCCCGGCUAACUACGUGCCAGCAGCCGCGGUAAUACGAAGGGGGCGAGCGUUAUUCGGAAUCACUGGGCGUAAAGCGUGCGUAGGCGGUUUUGUAAGUUAGGAGUGAAAGCCCAGGGCUCAACCUUGGAAUUGCUCUUAAAACUGCAAGGCUCGAAUCUCGGAGAGGAUAGCGGAAUUUCCAGUGUAGCAGUGAAAUGCGUAGAUAUUGGAAGGAACACCAGUGGCGUAAGCGGCUAUCUGGACGAGUAUUGACGCUGAGGCACGAAAGCGUGGGGAUCAAACAGGAUUAGAAACCCCUGAAGUCC